GAGCUGCUCUCAUCGCCAUCUUCACUCAGUGUGAAGCCACAGUUUGAUCGAAAGCGAAUCACUUGACCGCGAGAGCGCGCACCAUCCCACUACACGGUGUGGGAGGAGAGAGACCCGGGGCCAAAAAGCUCUCAAAAGUCUCUCUUCCUGCUCCAGUCACCAUCAGCAAGAGCUGUUGGUGGAUCUGCUCGUCAAGCUGAUGCUGAGGCUCAACCUACACAGGAGCUCAACUGGUCCAGAAACAACUGCUGAUACUCUAUUUGCAUGUGAACACUUUGACUUUAAAGGUAUAAAUAAAAUAAAUAACACUUCUGGAUCACAAGUGUUAUUGGGGACAUCUAGGAGUACCUCAAAUGUAUGAGGAGGCCUAAUUUGUUCAAGCAGGACAUUAUGGGAGUGGAAAAAAUGCUUUCUUCUUCAAUACUGACAGCUCCCCACUGCAGAAACCUGCGGCUCUUGACCACAGUCUGGGUGACAGAGAUUAAAAGUCACUGGUUCUUCAGAGCUAUUUGUGAGAAAAACAGACCAGGGCCUUGUUUUUGCCUUUGAGGGUAAACUUAAUCUUAAACUUUCAAAAGGCACAAGCCAAGUUUUUACCCUCUCCAGCCAAUCCUUGGUGACACUUAACACGAAAUUGAUCAUACACAGGGCUCCGGUGAUUGAAUGUACCAUGAAAAGGGACUUUUCUUAAAGUCAAGACCAACAACACCAAAUAUUCUGAUAGUAGAUAGUGGGGUAUAUACACUUGAUGCUUCAAAAGGGAGACAAAGUGAUCGAGAAACGAUAUCCAACCUUCCUCCAAAACCUUUUAUUUUCAAUUUCCUCACUUUUCUUGCAUGUAAACAAACAUUUAAAAUGUUCUUUUGAAGAGCAAAAGCUAAGUUGUUUACACAAACACAAUGACAGACACUUUUGGGAAUAACCACACCAGUAGGUGCAGUUAGGCUCAUUAGUGGAUUUGAACUUUUCCUUGUUUGCUCCUGUGUUUUGUAUUGAGUAAUAUUUGUAUUGAGUAAUAUUUGUGAUUCCAUUGGUGUCACUUACUGUGUUGGGUUAGUGAGUACAUUCUUUAUGAAAAAGAGAUUAUUUGCAUUUCAGUUUUCGGACCUGGUUCAUUGGGUUACAUUUUAUGAAUACUGAAAAUAAUAAUCACUCAUAAUUAAUAUCCUACCAUCCAUUUUCUUUUGCUUAUCUAAUGAAGAGUGGUGUUGUUUUGGGGCUUUGGCUAUCCCAGCUGACAUAGGGAUGGGGUACACCUCAAUCACACCUGCAGUCAAUUCAGAAUCAUCAUUUAACCUCAUAUGCAUGUCUGGACUGUGGGAAGAAGCUGGAGUACACAGAGAACCCAUGCAGACACGCAGACUAUACACAGAAACAAUGGACUCAAACCCACAAUUUUCUUGAUGUGAGGUGAUGAGUAUGCUAUUUCUAUCAUUUUAUUUUAUGCAAAGCUUUCCUACAUUUAUUCUUGUAUGGGUGAUUAUUAAACGUGUUUAUUUACAGUCUGCAAUAAAUUCGAUUUUUAGUAUUAUUCAGAUCAGUGACUCAAAACCGCAACAAAUGUUUGUAAAUGUGUUCAUGUUUCCACUCAUAGUUGAAGAUAAAAUUUUCCAUUUACAAGUUCAUGCACUGACCUUAAGCAUCCAAAAAUACAAGUUUAGUAAGCCUGCUGACAUAUUUAAGUGCCUGCGUAAAAUUUACAUUUCAGAUUGUAGCCAAUUUAACAAAUACCACAUGCUGCAUCCAAAUUAGGCUAUAGUGAAAAACCAAACAUUAAAAAGUUAAAUAUACCACAUUUUAGGAGGCUUGAUAUUUUUAAAAAAAAGUAUAAAUUCAAAUGUCAAACUAUUAGCACACGUUUAUUCUUGUUAAAAAAUAGGAAACAAACACAAAAAAAACCACACACACAAGACUUAAGAAAUCAGUUUUACUUUAUAUGAACUUUAUUCAAACCUCUUGGCAAAGGAUUAUUGUGGAGUCCAACUUGAAAAACUUAGACAAGGAUUUUAAGUAGAUCUGGUAAAAAGACAUGAGUAUUAGAGGGUCUUGAGCAUUGUUAUCAUAUGCUGUACCCUAAAGCAUCUCUUUAAAUAGCUCAAAGUAUAUUUUGAUCAGACAGGAUUGCAAAAGUAUAUGGAAUAAAAAAAAACAAA